GACGAACGCUGGCGGCGUGCUUAACACAUGCGAGUCGAACGGAAAGGCCUGCUUUCCCUUGUGGAUUGCGGGUACUCGAGUGGCGAACGGGUGAGUAACACGUGAGUGAUCUGCCCCCAACUUGGGUAUAAGCCUGGGAAACUGGGUCUAAUUCCCGAUAGGACUGCAGGGUGGUGCCUGUGGUGGAAAACGAUUUUCUAGUGGUUGGGGAUGAGCUCGCGGCCUAUCAGCUUGUUGGUGGGGUAAUGGCCUACCAAGGCGGCGACGGGUAGCCGGCCUGAGAGGGUGGACGGCCACAUUGGGACUGAGAUACGGCCCAGACUCCUACGGGAGGCAGCAGUGGGGAAUAGUGCACAAUGGGCGGAAGCCUGAUGCAGCGACGCCGCGUGGGGGAUGACGGCCUUCGGGUUGUAAACUCCUUUCGACCGCGAGGAAGCCACCUGGUUGGAAGGGUGGUGACGGUAGUGGUAGAAGAAGCACCGGCUAACUACGUG
rnacentral:rRNA from 1 species